CCAAAUGUAGGGUUGUCACUUUUACUCGAUGCGAUACUAUCGAUACGCUAAGCAGCAGCUAUCGAUAGCUCUGCAGCAGCAUCGAUAAGCUGGUAGAUGGGAACGAUACCAAUUGCUUUCUGACACAAGUAAAUAACCACACACACAAUGGCACAAAGCAAACUGAAUGAUCUAGCGGGCAAGCUGGGCAAAGGUGGCCCACCUGGCCUGGGAAUUGGACUGAAGCUCUUGGCUGCCGUGGGCGCAGCAGCCUAUGGUGUCAGUCAAUCCUUGUAUACCGUGGAGGGCGGUCAUCGCGCCAUCAUCUUCAGCCGCUUUGGUGGCAUACAGAGUGAUAUUUACUCUGAAGGUCUUCAUGUGCGCAUCCCAUGGAUCCAAUAUCCAAUUAUUUAUGAUAUACGCUCGCGUCCCCGCAAAAUUUCAUCACCCACCGGCUCGAAGGAUUUGCAAAUGAUAAAUAUUUCGUUGCGUGUUCUGUCGCGUCCUGAUUCGCUGAAUUUACCCUUCCUGCACCAGCAAUUGGGCGUUGACUACGACGAGAAGGUGCUGCCCUCCAUUUGUAAUGAGGUGCUCAAGAGUGUCAUUGCCAAGUUCAAUGCCUCCCAACUGAUUACACAGCGUCAACAGGUCUCGCUGCUGAUACGCAAGGAGCUUGUGGAGCGCGCGCGCGAUUUUAAUAUUAUCCUGGAUGAUGUUUCGCUAACUGAGCUGAGCUUUGGCAAGGAAUACACGGCGGCCAUUGAGGCCAAGCAGGUGGCACAGCAAGAGGCACAACGGGCCGUCUUCUUUGUGGAGCGCGCCAAGCAGGAGAAACAACAGAAGAUUGUGCAGGCCGAGGGUGAAGCCGAGGCAGCCAAAAUGUUAGGUCUGGCCGUCAAGCAGAAUCCAGCCUACCUGAAGUUGCGCAAGCUGCGUGCUGCCCAAAGCAUUGCCCGCACAAUUGCCAGCUCACAGAACAAGGUUUAUCUGUCCGCCGACAGCUUGAUGUUGAACAUUCAGGACUCCGGCUUUGAUGACAUGACUGAGAAGGUUUACAAAAGUAAAUAACUCGUUUCGUCAUUGAGUUAAAAUUUAAGUUGAAAAUUGAAACAAACUGAAAAUUUGUUGUUUUUGGUUUCGAGCAUUGGCCAAAACAUUAGACAUAUGUAGACCGUGUAUUUGAGUAACGUUUUCCUAAAUCUCUCUUUUUCUCUUUGCCAACACACAAUUAUCCACUUCGUUUACGCUUCUUUCCUUUUCCUUUUACUCUUAUUUUUUAAACGCGCAACGCAGUUCUAAACGAUUUGGAUUAAUUGGCACCGGCCUGCCCAAGAAUUGGCUAGACGCACGCAAAAUGGGAUCCGCUGCCGACUCCAAUGUGGGCGAUGUAGCUCGCAGCACCGCCGAACGCAUGAUGUAAUCGACGAAUGAGGAAUCACAUUAUUGCUGCAACAUUUUUGGCUUCCCAACAAAGAAAAAGAAAAUCUUACCCAGUACAAACAAUGCAAGAAAACAACACAGACUAUAUAAACGACUACGUGAGGGCCUUAUGAAAAUUACCUAUCAAAUAGCAAGAAUAUUGACUGCAAAUGGCAUUUCAUCAAAUACGAAACAUUUACUUAUAUUAUAAUAAUUGCAUGUAUAAAAUACAUAAGAAUAGUACAUAA